AGCCAAAGUCGGAGGGGUGGCUAGCUGCGCAUGCGCAGGUGGAACUGGUGUGAUUAGCCCUGCCGCAGUGACUGGAACACAGAGUGGAGUGGUCGCCGGAGAUGCCUGAAGGUCUGUUCUGAGGAGCGGCUAGCAGCGCGAUGGAGCGGGCCAGGGACCGCUUACACCUGAGACGGACCACGGAGCAGCACGUACCAGAGGUGGAAGUACAAGUCAAACGUAGAAGGACAGCCUCACUGAGCAACCAAGAGUGUCAGCUCUACCCAAGGCGAUCUCAGCAGCAGCAAGUACCUGUGUUGGAUUUCCAGGCGGAAUUGAGACAGGCAUUCUUAGCAGAGACACCAAGAGGUGGUUAAAGCAGUAUUGGAACAUCCAGGUUAGCUGAUUUCCAAGUGAAAAACCAGGAAAACUUUGCUAUUUGGGUAGAUCUGCUGACAUGGAUGGCUCUUAGAUUUUGACAUGAGUGAUUGUGCACCAUAUACAAAGAAAACCUGUUCUCUCAUAUCUCCUUAAGUAAUGAUGACGGCGUCUUUUGCAAGUUAGAGUUUUUUCAGUCUUAUGAAGUGCCCUUUUGUCCACAUAGUUGAGGACUCUGAAAGGAGGAGAGAAUUUAACCACUCAAUUUUCUGACAUGUCACUGUGGAUCCUACCCAGUAGUUUCUCAAGGAGGCUUAAAACUGUAUUAGCUGCAUUUAGGACAAACGUAAACCACUACAGGUAAACUAACCUUUUAAAGAAAAGUAAUAGUGCAUUACAGAGGCCUUGGCUAGGUUCAUGAUGACACAGGACCUUGUCUGAACAUAAUGAUUUUAAAAUUUGAGCUUAAAUGACACUCUGAAAUCUAGUCAAUGUGCCUCAGUAGACUUUACAGAGAACAUUAUUUUUAAUAGAAAAUUUUGGCUUACUGUGCAAACUUUGAAUACUUAGAAAUGGCAGGUGUAGCAGUAUACUUUGCCAGUUCCUUAGACAUCCUUUUUUUUUUUAAAUGUUUAUACAUAUUCUGAGCUCAUUAUUUUUUCCCUUUUUUUAAAACAUAUAUGCUGUUGAAAGCAAAAAAGGAAGCUCAUCCUUAGAUCCCAGAAGGUACAUGCAUAUGCUGAGUGGAAGCAAGGACAUGUAAAAGGGAGACUACGACUUCUUGGAUCACACAUUGGAUGACAGAGAUGUUUAAGUGAUGAUGUCCAGGAAAAUGGGGAACUAAUAUUUAUGGAAAAUAUAUUAUGAAAUACAGUGAGUAUGGGGUAAGAAGAUCUCUUUCUUAGUGAGAUGAUGAAGGCCCAAUAAGAGAGCAAUAUUUGAAAUCCAUUUCCAAGGAUAUGUUUGUUCUAUAUGUGAAUGUUGAUUUACAGCUUCAGGUGUUAAUGCAGCAAGUCCAUCUCCGCCAAAAUAAUGUACACAAACAUCUUCUACAACCCUGUAAAAGAAAAGACUUGGAACACUUGUAUUCAAAAUGACAAAACACGUACAGAUAAUUCAAAGAAGAAAAUACUGGCAAGUAAGCAUGUGAAAUGUCUCCGAAUCAUUCACAAACACCCUUUAAAAAUCAUUGUAUGAUCAUUUGAAUCAAUUUUACAUAGAUGUAAAAAGGUGAUGCCAACUAGGUGAGAAAGUGGGUGUAAUUCGUGGACAUAAAUGGAACCCAAGAAACAUGGACAAGGAUUUCAUCCAGAAACUUAGAAAAUUUAUUGGACAAUAGACAACUGUUCAAGCUCCAUUAGAUAGCAGUUCUGAAGCUACCUUUCUAGAUGACUUUUGUUGUUGUAAUUGUUGUAUUUUAACUGUAUUAAAGCUUCUAACUGAUCCCCUUACUUCUAGCUUCAGAUUCUCUGUUUCAUCUGUCUGCCAGAGCAGUAUUUGGGAAAGAUAUGACAAACCAAGUCACAUUUCUUCAAAAAUCUGCAUUUGGCAUGUUUUUAAGAGUAUUAGAAAUAAGCAAUAAUCAGAGAAGAGGACAAAGAUUAUAUAAACUGAUAAUAGAGGAUCUUUUGCCACUGUCAAAACUGGAAAUUUGCCACUUUUAGUCACUGAACAUUUGGAUUCCUAAAUUUUGUGCCCUAAGACUCCCCUGAUAUGAAUCUUACGAAAUUUGUGCAGCAAGAAACAAUGAGAUUAUAAUCCAAGAUGAUUUAGGAUACUGUGCAAACGUUUUUGCCACUGACGUGAACAGGAGAGUAUAUCCUGAGAGCCUCUGCAUUGAUCAGAUUGUAGUUUUCAAAUUUUUCUGGAGUAUCCUGAGCAAUUAUACUUAUGGACUGCUAUGAACCCUAAACAUCAUGCUGAUUCAAGGGGUCUUUGACCAGGACCUUCCUGUAGAGACACUCCCUAGAUCUUGUAUUCUAUAUUUAUUUCAUGGUCCAACAUGAUUAGCACAGCAUCUCUAAUUCCAAAUUACUCCCCAGAAUGCAAAUGUAUGAAGUUAUCUACUGAAUUAAAAUAAUUUCAAGUGAAUGGCACUUGUAGUAUUGGUUUAGAAUGGACAAUCUCAAGUAAAUAUAAGACAGCAUUCUAGGAAUAUAUGGAAUGAAAGGGAAGGACAACACAUCCCAACUUGAGCUAGAAGCUUCACCAACUACAAAAUCACAGAGAAAAUAGAGAUAUAUACUGUUCUGAAAUUCAUCUUGCUUUUCAAAAAUUUUAUUUCAUUGGCAAUCUUUGGAUUUGGUAAAAAUCUCAGUAUUUUUUUCUAUGGAUUACCAAUUUACCUUAAAAAUAUUUAAUAGUAAGAGCCUUGUAUAUGUGACUUUAAUACAUACAUGAUAAACACAAAUAUUUUUUUUUCACCUCACACACCAUUUUAGGAAUGUAAACUUAUUAACUAAUUACUGGACAUAUAGAGCUUAAGAAUAAAUGCUUAAGAAAAUUGUGAUUGGGUAAUGGUAUUGAAAUAAAUAUAAAAUACUCAGUGAAGGGUGAAUAUGUAUGAACUGUUCAUUGGAUGUUAGUGAAAAGAAUGAAAUUCAACAUGUAAUAGUUUAUUGUAUUUUAUUCUUUCUUUGCUUUAUCUUUCUUGCACUCUGAUGCUCAAGCACAGAGACUACAGUUAUAAACAAAUCUAUUGUUUUUAAAAAUGGUUGCUGUGAUAAUAGAGCUGGUUUCCUAGGUGAGUUUUUAAAAGCAUGUUUGGUAAAACUGCCUUCUGGAAAAGAUUUUAGAAAGGAAUGAGGCCAUUUUGUAAAGAUACACACAAUGCUAUAUUCAUUGUUUGAAUGUUUAUGGAUAAGGGGAGAGGAAAUGGACAUGAGGAAUGUUUAAUAUAUUAAUCAGGAAAAAAGUAAGGCACUAGUUAUUAAUGUUUAUUUUGAGAAUAUACUGUAUGAAAUACCUAAAUAUAAUUGCAUUGUAACUUUAAGGUAUUGUGAUUGUUAAGUUUGCUAACAUUUAGAAGAAAUAUUUUUAAUACAUGAUUAUAAAAAUAGAACUGUUAGAAUACCUUUGAAUAAUACACAUUUAGAAUCAUUUGAUUGAAUGAUUUUUGAGUGGCUUUUGGUGUGGGGCAAGGAUUGUUCUGUAUGCAGCUGUUACACAAGAAAUUUUAUUAAGGCUGUUCUGUGUGGUUGUAGAUGUUAUUCUGUAAAUAUUUGUUAAUAUCUUUAUGGUAUGUUAAUGUUUCUGUGGUAUGAGAUUUAAUUCCCAUGAUGGAAUUACUGCAUAAGAGUCCAGCUUCUAUGCAUGUUUAGGAUUUGAUGGGCUUUUUUAUUGCUAUGUAUGUAAUGGAAAAAGUACUGUGUUAAACCAUCCUAUUAAUCAUGGAGAUGACUGAUAUUUGGGGCAUUUUAAAUGUUAGAAUAUAAUUUUGGUUGUCGAGAGGAGUUUUUAGGCUGCCUUAUUUGUAGUAGGCAAAUAAAAGCAGAAUUUAGAAGGUAGAGAACAGGGAAUUUUGGAGGGCUAUACAUAUAUGAAUAUGUGCAGAAACAGUUCUUGAACAGCCUAGAGGCUUUACUUGAUGCUCAGAAGUUGGGAAUCGACAUAUAUUUUAUUAAUCCUGUGAUGUUAAAUAGGUGUAGUUUGUUGUUGUUUUUUUCCAAUACAAUGGUUAAAUUGCCUCAACAUUAAUUCCUUUUCAGUAAGAUUAUACUUUUUUUUAAAGUGUUAUAUACAAUGUAAUGUUCUUUACCAUCUAAUUCUCUACCUACAUAGACAUUACUGUAAAUACAUAUCAACUUAUACGGAUAGACAUUUUUGUUUGACAAAAAUGAUAUUAUAUCUUGCCUCUGUGUUCAUUGGAUUAUUAGGCUCAAAUUGUAGGGUGGAAUAAAUGUGCAGUGUCUAGUAUAAUAUCUCACAUUGUUUUUUAUAGAAGAUUCAUCAUAGUGGAAAUGUCAUUUUAAUUGUGGGUCUGCCUUUGUUUAUGGUUUUUAGAUAUGUUUGUAUGCAGAUAGGAAAUAGAAUUACUAGAAAAAUCUCUACAUGUGGUUAAACAUAAUAGGUUAGAAAAGUUUUCAUUUGCCAGUGUAAUUUGACUUUUAAUAAUUGAAUUGUUCUUGCUUUAAAAUACUACAUAAAAUAGUAUAGGUGAUUUACAAGUUUGUAUUAGAGAUGUUUGUAAUGGUCUGUCAAAUCUAUGUUCUUAAAAGGAUGGGCUGAUCAAAGAAAAGUUUUAUAUAAUGUGUAUAAUUAGACACAGUUAUUAUGUUUUCUUAAAGCCGAGGAAUAAUUAUAUCAGCAUGUUUUGUAAAUAUGUAGAAUGAAAAAUUUGCAUAACAGCUGUCAGAUUAUGUCUGAGUAAAUAAUUGAGCAGCUGAAGUUCAGGAUAUUUUGUUAGACUGUUUUGUGUGUAAAACGGGAUAAAAUAAUUUUUACUUUAAACUUUUAAUCCUUAAUUUUACAGGGGUUGCAUUCAUAUACAUAUGUAUAUAUACCCACAGGUGUAUUGUAUAUGUAUAUAUAAGACAACUGUUUAUUAAAAAUUAUACAAUAGGAACACCUUUUGGCCAAA